CUUCAGCCACCAAUUGUGUCAAUGUUUUGAUUGUACCAGUUUGGUGUAUAGACAAAUAGAUAUGGAAUUUUAAAUGGUCAUUGACUUGUUUUUAGAUUGAGUUAAUCAAGCUUCAGUUUAAGUAUUUGAAAAGAUAUCGAUUUAUAGUUGGAGAGUAUCUUUAAUGCUGGCAUGCAGACUGGUCUACCAGAAUAUGCUAAUAGGGAAAAAAAACAUAAGAGAUCAAUGCUAUUAACUGAGUCAUUCAUAAGACCUGACAAGUGCUGACUGUGAAAAUGUAUUUCAUAAUAGAGCAUGUUUACAUUAAGUCUGAUAACCAUUUGUUGAAGGUGUGAUAUAUAGUUCCCAAACAAAAUGUGAAGAAAACAAUAUAAUCAGUAAGUUUAGGGAUUUUCAAGUAUUCUAUUAACAUGAGAAGCAGAGAAACUGAAAAUGCAUCAUUCAAUAUAGCAUAUGCACAUGUAGCUUGAAACUAAAUUUCAAAAACCUCUGAUUUCAAGUUCUAGAAAAAAAAACGAAAAUUUACUGGUACAGGAGGAUGGAAAUACUGACAGAAAGAUGGAGAGACAAUCAAUGAUGGUGGCCUCGAAAUAGUUGUCAAACUGAUAUUUAUAGUUAUUUGCCACAAGUAGUUCCAAUAAAACUAACUUAAGCAGAAAACUAAUCAAUUGUUGAUGCAGAUGCUAGAACACCAAAUCCUAUGUGUCAAUUUCCUUGCAGGUGAAAAACUGCAUCUAUAUUGAUUUUUCUGCUUCAAAUAAAU
rnacentral:lncRNA from 1 species